rnacentral:rRNA from 1 species
GAACGCUGGCGGCGUGCUUAACACAUGCAAGUCGAACGGAAAGGCCCUGCUUUUGUGGGGUGCUCGAGUGGCGAACGGGUGAGUAACACGUGAGUAACCUGCCCUUGACUUUGGGAUAACUUCAGGAAACUGGGGCUAAUACCGGAUAGGAGCUCCUGCUGCAUGGUGGGGGUUGGAAAGUUUCGGCGGUUGGGGAUGGACACGCGGCUUAUCAGCUUGUUGGUGGGGUAGUGGCUUACCAAGGCUUUGACGGGUAGCCGGCCUGAGAGGGUGACCGGCCACAUUGGGACUGAGAUACGGCCCAGACUCCUACGGGAGGCAGCAGUGGGGAAUAUUGCACAAUGGGCGGAAGCCUGAUGCAGCAACGCCGCGUGCGGGAUGACGGCCUUCGGGUUGUAAACCGCUUUCGCCUGUGACGAAGCGUGAGUGACGGUAAUGGGUAAAGAAGCACCGGCUAACUACGUG